CCAGUCGUAGCCGAUGUUCCACAGCAGGGGGCCCAGGACUGUGACCCCUGCGGAACACCGCGCUCGACGGG
rnacentral:pre_miRNA from 1 species